rnacentral:rRNA from 1 species
AUGGCGACCGGCGCACGGGUGAGUAACACGUAUCCAACCUGCCGUCUACUCUUGGACAGCCUUCUGAAAGGAAGAUUAAUACAAGAUGGCAUCAUGAGUCCGCAUGUUCACAUGAUUAAAGGUAUUCCGGUAGACGAUGGGGAUGCGUUCCAUUAGAUAGUAGGCGGGGUAACGGCCCACCUAGUCUUCGAUGGAUAGGGGUCCUGAGAGGAAGGUCCCCCACAUUGGAACUGAGACACGGUCCAAACUCCUACGGGAGGCAGCAGUGAGGAAUAUUGGUCAAUGGGCGAGAGCCUGAACCAGCCAAGUAGCGUGAAGGAUGACUGCCCUAUGGGUUGUAAACUUCUUUUAUAAAGGAAUAAAGUCGGGUAUGGAUACCCGUUUGCAUGUACUUUAUGAAUAAGGAUCGGCUAACUCCGUGCCAGCAGCCGCGGUAAUACGGAGGAUCCGAGCGUUAUCCGGAUUUAUUGGGUUUAAAGGGAGCGUAGAUGGAUGUUUAAGUCAGUUGUGAAAGUUUGCGGCUCAACCGUAAAAUUGCAGUUGAUACUGGAUAUCUUGAGUGCAGUUGAGGCAGGCGGAAUUCGUGGUGUAGCGGUGAAAUGCUUAGAUAUCACGAAGAACUCCGAUUGCGAAGGCAG